rnacentral:rRNA from 1 species
ACUACCAAGGAUUCCCCUAGUACCUGCGAGUGAAGCGGGAAAAGCUCAAAUUUAAAAUCUGGCGGUCUCUGGCCGUCCGAGUUGUAAUCUAGAGAAGUGCUGCCCGCGCUGGACCGUGUACAAGUCUCCUGGAAUGGAGCGUCAUAGAGGGUGAGAAUCCCGUCUUUGACACGGACUACCAGGGCUUUGUGGUACGCUCUCAAAGAGUCGAGUUGUUUGGGAAUGCAGCUCAAAAUGGGUGGUAAAUUCCAUCUAAAGCUAAAUAUUGGCGAGAGACCGAUAGCGAACAAGUACCGUGAGGGAAAGAUGAAAAGAACUUUGGAAAGAGAGUUAAACAGUACGUGAAAUUGCUGAAAGGGAAACGCUUGAAGUCAGUCGCGUUGGCCGGGGAUCAGCCUCGCUCUUUUGCGUGGUGUACUUUCCGGUCGACGGGUCAGCAUCAGUUUUGAUCGCUGGAAAAAGGCCUGAGGAAUGUGGCAGCUCCGGCUGUGUUAUAGCUUCUGGUCACAUACAGCGGUUGGGAUUGAGGAACUCAGCACGCCGCAAGGCCGGGUUUCGACCACGUUCGUGCUUAGGAUGCUGGCAUAAUGGCUUUAAGCGACCCGUCUUGAAACACGGACCAAGGAGUCUAACAUGCCUGCGAGUGUUUGGGUGGAAAACCCGAGCGCGUAAUGAAAGUGAAAGUUGAGAUCCCUGUCGCGGGGAGCAUCGACGCCCGGACCAGAACUUUUGGGACGGAUCCGCGGUAGAGCAUGUAUGUUGGGACCCGAAAGAUGGUGAACUAUGCCUGAAUAGGGUGAAGCCAGAGGAAACUCUGGUGGAGGCUCGUAGCGAUUCUGACGUGCAAAUCGAUCGUCAAAUUUGGGUAUAGGGGCGAAAGAUAAUCGAACCUCUAGA